rnacentral:misc_RNA from 1 species
AAAAAAUGUAUCUAAGAACCCCAAUAGAUCGUGUCCUAUUUUCCCCAUCAAAUCCCCAAUUUUCAAGAACUCAAAAAGUGUCUUUUAGAGUAAACUCAAAACUUAACAACAAUGUGAUAGAAAUUAGUGAAUCAAAAAGCUUUUAUGAGCUUUUGGGUAUUCAAGAAACUGUUUCUUUAUUAGAAAUUAAACAAGCGUACAAACAAUUAGCAAGAAAGUACCACCCAGAUGUUUCACCUCCGGGUCGGGUCGAAGAAAAUACCCAAAGGUUUAUUCGGGUUCAAGAGGCUUAUGAGACAUUAUCGGAUCCUAAAUCAAGAGAUAUGUAUGACAAACAUAUGUCUAAAGGACUUCAUUUUGCAUUUUCUCCUCGUAGAAAGUGCCAAAAUGAUGAGUCAAUGGAGAACACCGGUGAAUGGAAGAAUCGAUGGCAUUCUCAGCUAUCGGAGUUGAAAAGAAGAAACUCACACAAGGACUCUGGUAACAAUAUGUCAUGGGGUGCACAUAUGCGUAGACAAAGGAGUGAAACAUCGUUAUAACGAAUUAUAUAGUUUUUAUAUAUUGCUUAUAUAUAAUUUGAAGUGUUUGGUUAAGCAUUGAUGUUAUAAGUAGUGUAACAACUAUAUGUAAGUGCUGACCAAAUAUAGGUAACUGUUUG